AGUGCGAUAGCUGGGUCAAAUGGUGGUUCCAUUCCAAGGUUUCUGAGUAAUCUCCAUACUGCUUUCCAUAGUGGCUGUACCAAUUUGCAGUCCUAUCAGCAGU
rnacentral:pre_miRNA from 1 species